rfam:Aedes aegypti strain Liverpool supercont1.341 genomic scaffold, whole genome shotgun sequence.
AGCUCGGUAGCUUAGUUGGUAAAUCACUCGUCUGGCAUACAAGAGUUGUGGGUUCGAAUCUCACCUGAGCCC